rnacentral:lncRNA from 1 species
GUUUUGUGGCCAAGGCAGGGGCAGAAGCCAGCUCUUCUUACCCACUGUCCCCAAAGCUCAUCUCACACUGGAGUUGUGACAUCAGCACUAUUCUGCCUCUGCUAUACAACAGGCCCUGGAACAUACUCGAACCAUGUAGGUGAUUUGUGUCCCUGUCUCAUCUUUCUUACCAGAAUACCAUCGGAGCUCCUCUGGAACAUGUCCUUGUCUUCUCAGAGUGUGAAGUGUGUGUGUGACAGUGCUUUUCUGAGGACUCAGGUGACCUGGAGGCUGGAGAACAGCAUGGAGCAAGGAAAACAAAGACGAUGUGCUGGAGUGUAUGUUGCUUUCAUAAUUAUGUGAAAGAAAAUGUAGAGAAAUUUGAAAGGAGAACUGGUUAUCAGUAGUGCCAUCCUGCUCAAAUAUCUUCAAAUACACACCACCAUCCAUGUGUGGGUUGAUUAAGGAGCUGACGUUCAUUAGAUCUGCAGUCUCCUGACCUGAUGUGCAUCAGAAUCACUGGGAGAACAAACAAACAAAAAUGAAUCCAAAACAAGCAACGAACAGACAGAUUCUCAAGUCUUGCCAAGUCCAAAGAUUGAUUUGGUGGAGAAAUUGUACUUUGAAAGCUGCCCAGUUUACUGCCUUCAGAGAGUUUUCAGGAUGUGACAUAGGAAGGAAGAACCCAGGAGGGGACUGGUGGGUUUCCUGAGUUGAGAAGACAGACUGCUGAAAUGUUUCCAGGCAGACCAUGGCAGCUAGAGUUCAGAGGGCAGAGCACAAGAGACGAGAUUGCUGCAUAGAAAGAGAACUCCAGAGAUCUGCAGAGGGUCCUGCUUGAGGAUUCAGGUGAGUGUGGACAAGUUAUAUGCAUAUGAGGAAGUGCACCUGAAGUUAGGGAAAGAACCAUGGAAGAGGAUUAGAGAAAACAAUGCCCAGUGUUCACAUAGGGCCAGGAGUAAUGACUGUUUACACCAGCCAGACUAGAAGAAAAUCCAUGACACAUGGGGCAUUAGAUAGAGUACUGAGACAAAUAAUCAGUUGCAGAUUGAGCAUUGCUUGGGUCCUGUCUAACAAAUCUUACAAGCAAGACCUCAAAAGAUAAAUCUUCCAAGUACUGUAACUGUAUAUCAGAAUAACAUAUAAGAAUAUUUAUAGAAAUACAAAAAUACCCAGCAACAUUAUAAAAUUCACAAUGUCAGGUAUCCAAUAAAAAUUACCAAGCAUGAAAAGAAGCUGUAAAAUACAAAAUGAGAAUUAAAAACACACUUAUUUUUGUUAAGAUUAAGUGUGAAAUUGACACACAUAAUCCAGAACUGAUAUAGAUGCUAAAAUUAGCAGACAAGAACAUUAAAACUGUUAUUAUAAUUUUAUUCAAUACAUUGAAAACGGUAAUUAGAGACACGAAAGAUAUAAAAUCCCUAAAUCAAAAUUCUAGAGAUGCAAGCUACAAUAUCUGAGAUGACAAGUACAGCAGAUAGAAUUUAUGGUAGAUUACACAUUACAAAAGUAAAUAUGAGAAACUUGGAGGCAUAGAUAUAGAAACUAUCCAAAAUGAAACACAGAGAGAAAAUAGACUGAAAAAAAGAGCCCUAGUGUACUGUAGAACAAUGGCUAAAAGUUUUCUAAAUUUGAUGAAAACUAUAAACUCACAGAUCCAAAGUUCAAUGAACCCAAAGAACAAGACACGCAAUAAAAACUACAAGUUAGACUAUAGUUGCUCAAAAUUAAUUAGAAAGAACACAUCUUAACAGCAGCCAGAGAAAAAAGACACAUCACAUACACAAGGACAAAGAUAAGGAUGGCAGAAGGUAUCUUCUUGGAAAUUAUUCAGAUAAGAAGAUAGUGGAGCAAUAUCUUUAAAGUACUAAAAGGAAGAAACAAACCUGUCCACCUAGAAUUCUAUACUCCAGAAAAAUCUCUUUAAAAAAUCAAGGCAAAGAAAAGACCUUUUCAUACAUACAAGAGUUGAAACAACUAAUUGCCCGCAUAUCCACAUUACAAAAAAUUUUAAAAGAAGAUUUUCAAGCAGAGGAAAAUAAUAUCAAAUGGAAGCCUGGUUCUACACAGAGGAAUAAAGAGCACCAGAAAUUUACAAGGGCAAAGAUAUAAGAUUUUUCUUCUUAUUGUUGUUGAAAUCUGUUCAAAAGAUAAUUCGCAUCUUAAACAAAAAUAACAAUGUAUUGUGGAUUUUAUUACAUGCAUAAAAUUAAAAUGUAUGACAGCAAAUUAGAACAUAAGUGAAAGAAAGAAAAUAAUAAAGAUCAGAAUGAAAAUCAGUGAAGUAGAAAACAAAAAAGUGACAGCAAAAAGCAAUGAAACCAAAAGUUGGUUUUUUGAGAUAAUCAAUAAAUUGAUAAACCUAUAAACAGACUGGUCUUGAAAAAAAGAAAGAAGACACUUAUUACCAAUAUCAAGAAUGAGAAAGAUGACAUCACUGGAGAUAUUAACAGAAUAACAAGGAAAUAUAUAAACAACUUUAUGCCAAUAAAUUUGACAACUUAAUUGAAAUGAGAAAACUCCUUGAAAGGCAGAAAUUACCAGGCUGGGCAUGGUGGCUCACGCCUGUAAUCCCAGCACUUUGGGAAGCCGAGGUGGGUAGAUCACCUCAGGUCAGGAGUUGAAGACUAGCCUGGCCAAUGUGGUGAAACCCCGUCUCUACUAAAAAUACAAAAAUUAGCCAGGUGUGGUGGUGGGCACCUGUAAUCCCAGCUACUUGGGAGGCUGAGGCAGGAGAAUCACUUGAACCCGGGAGGUGAAGGUUGUAGUGAGCUGAGAUCAUGCCAUUGCACUCCAACCUGGGUAACAGGAGCAAAACUCUGUCUCAAAAAAAAAAAAAAAAAAAAAAAAAAAAAAAAAAAAAAAAAAAAAAGGGCAGAAAUUACCAAAGCUCACUCCAGAAGAAAUAGAUAACCUGCAUAGCCAUAUUAAAUUUGUAGUUUAGAAAUCUUCCUAUAAGGAAAACUUUCUUGGAAAUUCUUCCAAACAUUUAAAUAAGCAAUAAUACCAAUUCUACGUAACAAUUCUCUUCCAGUAUAUUGAAGUGAAAGAAAUAUAUGCUAACUCAUUCAAUGAGACCAGCAUUAUCCAGAUACCAAACCCAAGAAGACAUCACAAGAAAAGAAAACUAUAGACCAAAAUCACUCAUGCAGAUAGAUGCAAAACGUUUAAAUCCAACAAUGUAUAAAAGGGAUAAUACAUCAGGGCCCAAGAAUGCUGGCUUAACAUUAAAAAAAAUCAAUCAAUUUAAUUCACCAUAUUAAAAAACUAAAAAGGCAUCGCAAGGUCAGGAGAUCGAGACCAUCCUGGCUAACAUGGUGAAACCCCCUCUCUACUAAAAAUCGAAAAAUUAGCCGGGCAUGGUGGCGGGCACCUGUAGUCCCAGCUACUCAGAAGACUGAGGCAGGAGAACGGCAUGAACCUGGGAGGCGGAGCUUGCAGUGAGCUGAGAUCGCGCCACUGCACUCCAGCCUGGGCAACAGAGCCAGACUCCAUCUCAAAAAAAAAAAAAAAAAAAAAAAAAAAACAAACUAAAAAGGCAAAACCACAUUAUCAUCUCAAUAGAUAUAGGAAAAAAGCACAGGAUACAAUCCAAACCCAAUGUUGAAAAACGCUCUUGAUAAACUAAGAGUAGAAUGGAACUUCCUCAACCAGGUAAAAAGCAUCUAUGGAAACCAAUAGAUAAUGUUAUAUAAAAUUAACUUAAAAUAGACCAGAUACCUGAAUGUAAGGUCUGAAACAAUGAAACACCUAGAAGAAAACAUGGGAGAAACUGUAGCUGACCUCAGAAUGGGGAAAAAAAACCACAAGAAUUGCCCAACUGGAAUGAUGCUGCCAUCUUUGGAAAAGUAAAGAUUGGAGGUAGCUCCACAAACAAGAGUUUCUUGUGCCGCCUCUCCACAGAGGCCCUUCAAAAUGCAUUAUUUUUUCUUUGUACUCUGUACUUAACAUUCCUUGUAAACCGUAGCAUGUCUCUAUCAAGGUAAAACAGCCAGUGUAGGUUAAAUUUCAAGGGAACCAAUCAUUGUUAACGACUGUGGUGACUGUGGUAGUAUACAAUGUGCAGAGAAUAUGACCCACUGGAGGUACUGUACCUGGACAAUAGGCUGUACACAAGCAGCACAGCAGGGCCUUUAUACCUGAAGUAGGAUAGGUUCUGACAUUUGGAUUUCAGUGCUUUGUCCAUCACAGGCAAGGCCAGCAGUUCAACACAGUAUAUGUCGGGGAAGUGGAGCCUGUGUGAAGAACACAUAUUUUAUAUCAUACUAUGUGCCAGGCACUAUUAAGCACUUUAUAUCUAUUAUGUUAUUCAUAUAAGAUCCGGUGUUAUAGGUAUUAUUAUUUUCAUGUUAAGCUCAUGGAAGUUACAUAAUUUGUCCAAGGUCAACAACUGGUAACAGCUGGUGCUCAGGGUUGUCUUAUCAUUGUGGUUCUACAUUUUUAAAAUCUUUUCCAUUUUAUCAACUGUCUCCAUAAGAUCAAAAAAUAUUUUGCUAGGUUGCAAAGAAUGGUAUGCAUAUCUCUCUAGGACUUGAAGAGCAUGAGCCCAGAAAAACUCUACCCCUUUAUGAAAGGGCAGUUGUUAAAAAGGCUUGGCAAAUCCCCAGCCUCCUAAGUGUUUGGGGGCCAUACAUCUCCUAAGUGUUUGGGGGCCAUACAUCUCCUAACUGUCUGGGGGCCAUACAUCUGCUAAAAUGGGAUACCUGGAAUGUAUUCCGUAUGAGUGUUUCUUAGCAAAAAGAUGUAAAGGUGACCCCAUCUUUGGCCUUGAAAUGAAAGAGAUUUAUGAGCAAAUAUGGUGUGGGUGUUGAUUCCAUUUGGACUCAGCAUCACAAAGCUAGGUAGAGGUGACGAAAAACAACAAAUCAUGGUGCUACAGAAGAAUUUUGUGACUCUUUCAGGCAAUUCAUUUCUAAUGGCAGCUUAUCUACUGAAUAGAUUUUCAAUACUGAUGGAAGUAGUCUCCUCUGGCAUUGCUUGCAAAGUCAAUUCUGACACACGUGGAGAAGGAGAAGUGAAUCAAGCCCCUGUGAUUUUAAGCAGAGGGGGGAGCCAUUCCUGUUGUGGUAAUAUUACAGAUUCCCAUAAAAUAAUACCUUUGGCUAAAAGUUUCAUUGUCCUAGAGCUUUCAAAGUGAUCACACAUUGCCUAGUUGUUCUUACAUAAAAGUACAAGCUAACGCAUAAAUAGAUGAAAACAUUUUUCCUCCUUACUGGUUUUAUUAUCUCAUAGUAUGUCCAGUGAAACAUUUUUAAAUGGACCUUACUAUCUUUUUUUUUUUUUUUUUUGAGACGGACUCUCACUGUGUCGCCCAGGCUGGAGUUCAAUGGCACGAUCUCAGCUCACUGCAACCUCCACCUCCCAGGUUCAAG